UACUCUCAUCCACGCACAGCAGGCC
rnacentral:piRNA from 1 species